rnacentral:rRNA from 1 species
UGGGGAAUUUUGGACAAUGGGGGAAACCCUGAUCCAGCCAUCCCGCGUGUGCGAUGAAGGCCUUCGGGUUGUAAAGCACUUUUGGCAGGAAAGAAACGUCGCGGGUUAAUACCCCGCGAAACUGACGGUACCUGCAGAAUAAGCACCGGCUAACUACGUGCCAGCAGCCGCGGUAAUACGUAGGGUGCAAGCGUUAAUCGGAAUUACUGGGCGUAAAGCGUGCGCAGGCGGUUCGGAAAGAAAGAUGUGAAAUCCCAGAGCUUAACUUUGGAACUGCAUUUUUAACUACCGGGCUAGAGUGUGUCAGAGGGAGGUGGAAUUCCGCGUGUAGCAGUGAAAUGCGUAGAUAUGCGGAGGAACACCGAUGGCGAAGGCAGCCUCCUGGGAUAACACUGACGCUCAUGCACGAAAGCGUGGGGAGCAAACAGGAUUAGAUACCCUGGUAGUCCACGCCCUAAAACGAUGUCAACUAGCUGUUGGGGGCCUUCGGGCCUUGGUAGCGCAGCUAACGCGUGAAGUUGACCGCCUGGGGGAGUACGGUCGCAAGAUUAAAAACUCAAAUGAAUUGACGGGGGUCAUAGCUGUUUUCCU